GCAGGGCAAAUGACCUUGGACUGCCAUUGCUGCCCCAUCAAAAAAAAAAAAAAAAAACCAUGAUGCCUUUGGUUGUUUCCCCCUUUACCAGCACAGGGGCUGUACCUGCUAUAAUAGGCUGGCUUGCAUACUGGCCGUAGCUGGGGGCAUGAUGGGCAUAGGCACCGUAGCAGGGGGUGGAGGCAUCUACUGACACGCUGGGCUGGAGGGGCAACAGUUCCGCUAGGCCCGAGACUGCCAGUGAGGAAGGGGUGAAAGGAGCCAGGGAAGCCUCAUGCGGCUCCUGCUUAACGCACAUGGAGGAUGAAUGUGACUCUGCCAGACAUGGAGCUCUGUUGCUUUCAGGCCUGGGCGCUCAUUUUUUCUCCCUCUCCCCCCUUCUCCUCUCCUCCCAUCUCUCCGAAGAGAUUUGGAACAAGGGGGAUCCCUUCAGCACCUGCUCAGGUUUUCAGCGGAUCGGAGGGGUGCCCAUUUACACGGUACCAUCCUACUGGCACCAGGAAGACUUCCAUUAUACGGCUCGGCAGGGACGGCGCUUAAGAAUCCGCACUAGUCAUUCAUUGUGAAGGUAUGUGCAAACGGCCUUUUUAAAAAGCUAGCCAUAUCUGGACAGCAUCCAGACUUUUUACUGCAGUUUGAAUAAAUCAUGCCAUUGUUUUUUUCCCCCCUCUACUACAGUUAAUACAUGAAAGCGUGGAAUGUGCAUGACGCAUAAGGGCAAGUAUUGCAUCUGAUAAGUCUGAAGCCCUUUAAAACAACAGAAGCACAGAUUAAACCCACAACAACUCUAUUAUCUGUACUUUCUAGGAAUUUAUAUUAUUCAUUUAUCUAAAAAAGUAUGCAUCUAUUCCAUUAUUUAAAGGAAUGGACUUUACUACAAGUUUUUUUUAUUUAUUUUUUAAUUAAUUAGAUUUUAUCCAGCAUCAUAAAUUUCAGACCAAUAGACAAGCCAUUUUCAAAUGCAUUUUCCUUUAGGACUUUAGGUACAGAGCAGUAACCCCUAAAACUAAUUGGGUAAACAGUUAACACAAAAAACACGUCUCCUAUGCCUCGUAGUGCCCUUAAAAUUCCAAUUUCUGUUUUGUAAUGAAGAGUUCAUUAAUCAUUCAUCUUUAAUAGAUUAUGCAAAUCGCACGACAUAAAAUCAACAAGAUCAAUGGCAGCGUGAAUUUUAAUUGGCUCAGGAAAACAUUGCUGGGAAUGAGCAUAAUCUCCAGCUCUAUCCAAUGAGAGGGAGUAAUUUAUUCAGAAUUGGCUCUCAGUGUAAAUGCGUAGGGUAAUUUAGCACCUCCUUUAACUCUGUCCUUAUUCUUAUUUCCAGUUUAUCACAUGCGAGUACACCAUAAUAUUACGUUAUUGCAUCUUUGAACUGCUUUUCUUGCUUUUUUUUUUUUAAUAAAUGAAGUUAUUACUGCCAAAAGUCAUUUAGAAUAUGACAUGGAACAGUUAAUAUAUAAGACUCUCAAGAAAUGUCAUUUGAGCCUAGACAUUCUGAAAAAGCUUUAGAGCAUAAUUACAACUGUAUUUUAUUUUUUUCAGAAAAUGCUGAAUUUAGGUUGCCAGGUUGUAAGCAUUCUCAUCAUGCAUGCAUACACUGACACCGUUGUGAAAUCAUUAACAACAAUAAAAACUUAAGCAACCAUUUGAAAAUCUCUCCACCAGGGCCGUUUCCUACGCUCUACCAGAAGCAAGAGGUGGUCUGCACUAAGACCCCCGGUGUGUCCCGUCACAGGUGCAAGAAAGGCCACCUGCCAUGAGGGUGCUCCCUAGACCGAGACUGCUUUCAUACAAAGGACAAAAACACACCUUUCUUCUCCAGAGGCCCAACUUUCUGGAGGGAACUCUACCUCCCACAUAUUACCGAGGGGGGAAAAAAGCCCUUUCUUUUCACAUAACAUUAUCCAGCUAUCAUUUGAGAAGGGGGCACAGCAAUUUUCAAUCAUCCUGUCCUCCGCCCACACAGAACUCAUUGGCUUUGAUGGCUCCUGCAUAAUUAUGUGAAUUUUAUUAAAAGCUCAGCGUAUUAAUCUCAGCACGACAGUUGGCUAUCAGUAAACUUAACCUUCUCUGAGGUAAUAACAGCCGCAACAAUGAAACAAUAUUUCAAUUAGCCAGGCUGACAUUAACCACCACAUACCACAAGGAAAAAAAAAAUGCUGCAGCAUUAAAAGGCCAAACCGUGCUAGGCCGCCAUAUUUCUUUCUGAGAACUAUCAGCUGAAGAAAACAUUUCAGUACACAAUGUGAAGUAGUAAAACAAUUCACUGGUUUUUGAACAGUGACACUGGCCAACAAAUCUCCAUAAUCACUUCUUGCAUGCAAGUAACAGCGCCUGUCUGUUUCGAUCGCUCCUUUCUUACACGGCCCCUCAGAGCAGGCACCACUAAUCCAUCCACUUUAGAUCAACAUGUCACAUUCCACUCUCACCUGUCCACUCAACUUAAAAAGCUCACUUUACCACAUGAAACAGUCACAUAGUCUAGAAUAUGAACGUCCUGCCAGUAUUCUAACGGUCAGCCGGGACGGUGGAUCCAGC